rnacentral:rRNA from 1 species
UACGUAGGGUGCGAGCGUUGUCCGGAAUUAUUGGGCGUAAAGAGCUCGUAGGCGGUCUGUCGCGUCUGCUGUGAAAACCCGAGGCUCAACCUCGGGCCUGCAGUGGGUACGGGCAGACUAGAGUGCGGUAGGGGAGAUUGGAAUUCCUGGUGUAGCGGUGGAAUGCGCAGAUAUCAGGAGGAACACCGAUGGCGAAGGCAGAUCUCUGGGCCGUAACUGACGCUGAGGAGCGAAAGCGUGGGGAGCAAACAGG